rnacentral:rRNA from 1 species
ACAAUGGAGAGUUUGAUCCUGGCUCAGGACGAACGCUGGCGGCGGGCUUAACACAUGCAAGUCGAAGGAGAAGGAAGGAGCUUGCUCUUUCUGGAGACUGGCGGACGGGUGAGUAACGCGUAGCCAACCUGCCUUUAGCUGGGGGAUAACAUUCCGAAAGGGGUGCUAAUACCGCAUAAUGCAGCGGGGCCGCAUGGCCACAGUUGUUAAAGGUUUCGACCGGCUAAAGAGGGGGCUGCGUGCUAUUAGUUAGUUGGUGAGGUAACGGCUCACCAAGGCGAUGAUAGCUAGGGGGUCUGAGAGGAUGAUCCCCCA